CAGGGAUAACAUUUGAAUAUUAUGCAAGUGCCUGCUCAGGCCUUUUGGAGAGAACAAGGUCUCACAUGUUCUUCUAUUUUAACUGCCUGCUGCACCUCCUGAGAUCUCUGGGGAAUGCGCUUAGCAAAAGAAAAAAGUGCUGGAGCACCGUCUGACCUCUCACAUCCCAUACUCCACCCCGCAGAGCAGUUGUGAGAAGCCAACUCUGGCUUCCCUGUGGGAGACGAACCGCGGAGGCACAAGGUGCUGUUUGGAUGAGGAGCCUGACUGCAGCAUGGCAUCAGGGCUGCUGGGCGGUGCAGAGUGGUCCCACUUUGUGACGGAGAAACGCAGUCAGCAAACUGCACAGUAUAUAUGAAAGCCGAAGCAGAGAGACAUCUGAUGAGGCUU
rnacentral:lncRNA from 14 species